rnacentral:lncRNA from 12 species
CAUGUCUGUAAUUUGUUUGCCACGCUCCAACCCAUAAAUAUCACUCCAUUGAUUCAAAACAUGAAGCGGAGUUUUCCCUAAUUUGAAAUAAAUAGAAAACAGGUAAUAAAAAUUGACUCAUCAGGUAAAUACCACAGACCCACAGCCAGAUAAAAGAAAUAAUUAUUUGUAAAAGAUUACUUUCCAUUUUCAAUUCAGCAAAUGCCUUUUUUGCCCUAGGAGGAAGCUGUCCUAUUACACAGUAAGCCAUAUUUUGAUAAGGCCCUCAGUGCUAAAUUGAAGAGAAACAGAGAUCACAGGAGACCUGCAGAAGGAGAUAUCAGGGAAAGCAAAUAAUCUGACUGAUGGGAAUAUUUAAAGGUUAACAUUCAG